rnacentral:rRNA from 1 species
AUUGAACUCUGGCGGCAGGCCUAACACAUGCAAGUCGAGCGGAGCGGCGGACGGGUGAGUAAUGCCUAGGAAUCUGCCUGGUAGUGGGGGAUAACGUCCGGAAACGGGCGCUAAUACCGCAUACUAUCCAGUUAGCCUAGGUCGGAUUAGCUAGUUGGUGGGGUAAUGGACUACCAAGGCGACGAUCCGUAACUGGUCUGAGAGGAUGACCAGUCACACUGAAACGGAGACACGGGCCAGACUCCUACGGGAGGCAGGAGGGGGGAAAAUGGCAAAAUGGGCGCAAGCCUGAUACAGCCAUGACGCGUGGAUGAAGAAGGCAUGCGGGUUGUAAAGUACUUUAAGCGGAGAGGCGUUACCCGAAGAAGAAGCACCGGCUAACUCCGUGCCAGCAGCCGCGGUAAUAC